UCCGGAGUCCUGUUGGGGUUGGUACAAAGGACUGAACCUGCUAUUGGGAAUUGCUCUCAGGCAGUAAAGGGGAGAGAUGGCCGGAAGCGACGGAGAAGACAAAGGUAGCGAACAGGAAGUGGUAUUCAAUGAAAUGUGGAGGAAGUAGAUGUGCAGCAGAGGGCAUAGUUUGUUUGCAAAUCAUCGUAGUGUCACAGAGAUGGGCCCAAGUCAUCCAUGCCUUCUUCCGGAGUAUUACAAACAUGAAUAUUACAAGACCCACUUGCACCUACCACUUCCAUCAUUCAAGUUUCAAGUUCAUGGGUGUCAACAUCUCUGAAGAUCUAUCCUGGGCCCAAUGUAUUGAUGCAAUUACAAAGAUGGCACGACAACAACUAUUUUUCAUGAGGAGUAUGAGGAGGUUUAGUACAUCACCAAAGACUUCAGCAAAUUUCUGCAGAUGGAAAAUAUUCUAACUGGUUGCAUCACUAUCUGAUAUGAAGGGGCCACUGCAUAGGAUCAGAAAAAGCUGCAGAGUUUGAAAACUCAGCCAGCUCCAUCAUGAGCACUAGCCUCCCCAGUAUUGAGGACAUCUUCAAAGAGGCAUGAAUGGGUCAAAGGUAGAGUUCUAUUUUGUAACUGCCCUAAUGCAUUUUUAUGGAUACUGUAUGUCAUUCAUUCUCAGAUGACAUAUAUCCCUUGUAUUUCACCAUUGAUCCUCUAUGUAAAACACUAAUCUUGUAAGCCACCGUUUAUGGCAACAAAAGCUGGCAUUGUGAUAACAUGUUUUUCCAACCAUGACAAUAGACUUGGAAAUUUUUUCUUGAGCUUGUAACUCCAGAUGAACAUUUGGUGAUUUUUUCUUCACCAGUUCUAUCUUUUACAUUUCCUUAAUUUUAAUAGCUUCAUCUUUGAAGGUUGUGUUUUCAUCCAGAUGCAAGAAUUUCUUCCUUAAACCACUCUAGCUCCCUCACAUCUAAUGUUUUCCUCAAAAUCCUUCUUCUUUAAUAAAGCCUUUGGAUAAUUGGCCUGAUAUUUUGUUUCUUUGUGUUUUGGGUAUUAAUUUCCUUAUAGACAACUCUAUAAGUGAUUCCAUGUAGAGAGCUGUGGAUGCAGCUCAACACGUUAUGGGAAUUAGCUUAUUCUCUAUGGAAUCUGUCUAUACUUCUCUAUACCUUGGUAAAACAGCCAGUAUAAUCAAAGACCCCAUCCACCAUGAAUAUUUUGUCUUUUCCCCCCUCCCAUUGGGCAGAAAAGACAAAAGACUGAAAGCAUGUACCACUAAGCUCAGAAUGUCCUCCAAAAUUCUGUGUGUGCAGCAUCUAUCUCACUGAUAUAAAACUAUUGAAUGGAUCCUUAGAAUAAUAAGAUGGACCCCUGACCUUUAGAUCUGAACCAUUCUGACCUUGCACCUUAUUGUCUACCUGCAUUGCACUUUCUCUUACUGUAACAUUUUACUCUGCACUCUUUUAUUGUUUAACCCUGUACUGCCUCAAUGCACUGUUGUUAUGAAUUGAUCUGUAUGAACAGUAUGCAAGACAAAGUUUUCACUGUAUGUAAAUUUAU